rnacentral:rRNA from 1 species
AUAUCAAUAAGCGGAGGAGAAGAAAUUAACUAAGAUUGCCCUAGUAACGGCGAGUGAAGCGGCAAAAGCCCAAACUGGAAAUCUAGUAUUUAUAAUACUCGAAUUGUAGUCUAAAGAAUGUGUACUCAAAGAUGAUGAUGCAGAAGUGAUCACGAACGAUCCACCAAAGAGGGUGAAAGUCCCGUAUGUGGUAUCAUUAUCAAACGAGUAUAUGUUUAAAGCGUCGGGUUGUUUUGUAUUGCAGCCCUAAGUGGGAGGUAAAUCCCAUCUAAGGCUAAAUAUUGGCGAGACCGAUAGCGCACAAGUA